GCCAAACGGGCAGAGCGCGGCGGGGCUGACGUCAGUGCCCAGUGCCGCCUGAGCGGAGCGGGACGGCGGGCUCUAGCUGGGUGUGGUGAACACACCUGUAAACUCAGCACUUGGGAGGCUGAGGCAGGAGAUGUUGUGAGUCCAAGGCCAGCCUGGGCUACAGCGUGACCUCAAGGCCAGCGCAAACUGCAUAGCGAGCCCUGUCUCAAAAAGGUGAAAAAAAUAAAGAGCUUUAGUGUUAACCUGUGUUAAUUCUUUGUGAAUUUUAGUGAAUAUU
rnacentral:lncRNA from 1 species